GAAUUUUGAGUGUAGUUUUACUGAACUUCUUGCGUCUACCUUCAAGAAAACCAUCAAGAGAGCCUACUCCAUUUACGUUCUUUCAAGGUUGUCUUUUGUAAAACCAUACAACUAGAAUGUCUUCAUAGGUACUGGAAGUUUUAACUUACAUUGACCCAGAUGUUCAUGUAAAGGCACCGUAAAUGUGACAUGAGCAAUCAUAUAUUUCCAUUUUGGGAGGAGAUUGUGAGAUCCAUGAAGUUAUGGCAAAAGCAUCCUUAACAAUGUGGAGGUGCAAACGCCUGGGGAGCAAUGUUUCUUGUCACGUUUCGGCUGUUAAGGGACUAUGUAGUAACUACUUUUUAGACUGAGUUUGGACGCCAUUUAUACACUCUAAAUGAGAUUUUGAGAUGCUAUAUGAAUUUCAAUUCAAUUUGAAAAUUGUAGUAGCAGCAACGUGAGUUGGUUUUUCAUGGAAGACGAUUGUAAUCUUUCUCAAAGAUAAUAUACGAAUUUUGCUUUCUACUUCGAUCCGCCAUUACGUAUUUUUGCAAAAGACGUGUAUCAGAAGGAUUGUCAAGAGAAUCAUCUCAGGUAUGUUAACGCUAAACUUUUUGCUUUAUUUUGGCAUGAUGUCGUCAUUACACAAGUUUAAUAACGAGGUAUAAAGAAAAAUUCAUAUCCCGCAAUUUACGUAUAUUUUGCUAGUCUCGCAAAUUGCGCAUAUUUUUCUAGUUUUGUAAGUUACAAUAUUCUUCUUACCAGAACUUCAUAUUCAAUUAAAUAUUUUCUUAUUCCAGUCAAGAGAGCAGAAAGUUUAUAUAUAUACAGUAUUAAAUUAUUUUCAUUACCAUAGAGCUAUAAUCGAUGGGCAGGCCCCUAUUAGGCAACCUCUGAUCAGAUGGUAAGUUAUACACCGAUCCUACUGUGGUCGAGUGCCUAUGAGCGAGCCCAGUUGGUCGAGAUACAGAACCUAGUAUGGCCGAGCGCUCAUGAGCGAGCCUACUACGGCAGAGCAGUUAUAUAUAUAUAUAUAUAUAUAUAUAUAUAUACCGAGCCUUAUAGGGCCGGACAGCUAUUUUACUUAAUAUAUUGAGAGAGUUGAGUCAGUAUCAGUUGGUAAGCAUAUCUUCAGAUUAUCUUACUAUCAGUUCAGUUUCAGCUUUCAGUAUAUUGCCUUACAUACUCGGUACAUUAUUUCGUACUGACAUCCUUUUGUUGGGGACGCUGUGUUUCAUGCUCGCAGGUAUAGACAAUCAGUUUGACGAUCCCUCAUAGUAGACGAGAUUGGCAUUCAACAAAGGAUCGGUAAGACUCCACUUCUUUCGGAGUGCAGCUGGGUCUAUGAGUCAUCAUGUCAGAGUUUUACUACAUACUUUUGGGUCAGUCGAUACCCUAUUCCAUUUGAUGUCAAAUACUUUUAGAGGCUUUGUAGACACGCAGAGGUUCAUUUUGUACAAUAUGUCAGAGGCCUUGACGGCUUAUAUGUAUUAAUGUUUUAUGAACGAUGGUUCAUUAAUAUAACAUUUUCC
rnacentral:lncRNA from 1 species